rnacentral:misc_RNA from 1 species
GAUGAAGAACGUAGUGAAAUGCGAUAAGUAAUGUGAAUUGCAGAAUUCAGUGAAUCAUCGAAUCUUUGAACGCACAUUGCGCCCGCUAGUAUUCUGGCGGGCAUGCCUGUCCGAGCGUCAUUUCAACCCUCAAGCCCCCGGGCUUGGUGUUGGGGAUCGGCGAGCCUCCGCGCCCGCCGUCCCCUAAAUCUAGUGGCGGUCUCGCUGUAGCUUCCUCUGCGUAGUAGCACACCUCGCACUGGGAAACAGCGCGGCCACGCCAUUAAACCCCCAACUUCUGAACGUUUGACCUCGGAUCAGGUAGGAAUACCCGCUGAACUUAAGCAUAUCAAUAAGCGGAGGA